rnacentral:rRNA from 1 species
CGUCAAGUCCUCAUGGCCCUUACGUUCCGGGCUACACACGUGCUACAAUGGUGGGAACAAAGGGAAGCGAAGUUGUGAAAUGAAGCAAAUCCCAAAAACCCCAUCCCAGUUCGGAUUGCAGUCUGCAACUCGACUGCAUGAAGUUGGAAUCGCUAGUAAUCGCGGAUCAGCAUGCCGCGGUGAAUACGUUCCCGGGCCUU